UUCCAUACUUUUUUCCUGUGCUUAUGUAUGUGUAACCAUGAUUUACAAAAAUAAUAUUAUACAUGCUCUUUCAUCAUCUGCUGUUUUUACUCAACCAUUUGUUUAGAAGAUUUUUAUGUUUCAGUAAAUAUACACCCACAUAAUCAUUGUUAGCCACUAUUUUUGAUCGACAUGUUUAGUGUCCUGUGGUCUCAGAGCUGACUGGGACCUUAGAGAUGAUAUUAUUUAACCUGCUUAUCUGAUAAUAUUAGGAAGGAAGCCAAGAGGAGCAAAAUGGCUUUAGUGCUACAUAGCUAGUGGAAGAGCCAGUAUCAAGACUCACAACUCCUAACACGUCAUCCUGCUUUCUUUCCACAGUUCCACAGACUCGUCCUCUUCCCUUCCAGCCAUGUUCUCCCCUAUUUCUUUUUCUUUUGAGACAGAGUCUUGCUCUGUUUCCCAGGCUGGAGUGCAGUGGCAGAAUCUUGGCUCACUGCAACCUCCACCUCCCAGGUUCAAGCAGUUCUCAUGCCUCAGCCUCCCAAGUAGCUGGGAUUACAGGUGCGCACCCACGCUGGGCUAAUUUUUGUAUUUUUAGUAGAGACUGGGUUUCACCAUGUUGGCCAGGCUGGUCUCAAAUUCCUGACCUCAGGUGAUCCACCCCCUUCAGCCUCCCAAAGUGCUGGGAUUACAGGUGUGAGCCACUGCUCCCACCUUCUCCCCUUUUUCUGAUACUCUCUUUGAUAUAGUUUGGAUGUGUGUUCCUGCUCAAAUCUCAUAUUGAAUUGUAAUCUCCAGUGUUGGAGGUGGUGCUUGGUGGGAGGUGACUGGAUCAUGCGGGUGGAUUUCUCAUGAAUGGUCUAGCACCAUCUCCCUAGGUACUGUCCUCAUGACAGCGAGUGAGUUCUCAUGAGAUCUGGUUGUUUAAAAGUGUGUAACGCCUCCUCCCUCUCUCGUUCCUGCACCUGUUAUGUGAGAUGCCUCCCUCCCCCUUUGCCUUCUGCCAUGAUUGUAAGUUUUCCGAGGCCUCCCCAGAAGCCGAGCAGAUGCCAGCACCAUGUUUCCUGUACAGCCUGCAGAACUGUGAGCCAAUUAAACCUCUUUUCUUUAUAAAUUACCCAGUCUCAGGUAUUUCUGUAUCACAAUGUGAGAUGGACUAAUACACUCAUGUUUCACAACUCUUAUCCACAGGGGAUGUCAGCUUCCACUUGAGCUCACACGCUUCAUCUCCUCUCUCAGGGAGUUAUUUCUUCAGCCUUCACCUAUGGCCCAAUUUUUCUUUUCUUGUACAUUAACAAUUAGCUUCUCUACAACUUAAAAUUUCUUUCCUUGAGCUCCUGCUGUCAGAUAAUACUCCCAAAUCCCUACUAACUCAGAAGAUGGGCUGGGGGAAAGCUCUUUCCCAUGGACAAAUAUGAUUUAGAAGAGAAGGAAAUGAAUGAAGAACAGGUUUCCAGAUCCCGCAGGUGUUGCUGUGAGGAUGUCAGGUGCUGGCGCAGGUGUUGCUCUGAGGCUGUCAGGUGCUGGCAUAAACAGCUGCAAUUAGGGGUGCUGUUCAUUGAGCGUGCCUGGCCCUCAUAACUAUGACUUCUAUACUCGUUUCUCUCAGGGGACUGUGACCCUCCUGGGAAUCCAGUUCAUGGCUAUUUUGAAGGAAAUAACUUCACCUUAGGAUCCACCAUUAGUUAUUACUGUGAAGACAGGUACUACUUAGUGGGCGUGCAGGAGCAGCAAUGCGUUGAUGGGGAGUGGAGCAGUGCACUUCCAGUCUGCAAGUUGAUCCAGGAAGCUCCCAAACCAGAGUGUGAGAAGGCACUUCUUGCCUUUCAGGAGAGUAAGAACCUCUGCGAAGCCAUGGAGAACUUUAUGCAACAAUUAAAGGAAAGUGGCAUGACAAUGGAGGAGCUAAAAUAUUCUCUGGAGCUGAAGAAAGCUGAGUUGAAGGCAAAAUUGUUGUAACACUACAGCUGAGCAGAUGUAAUAGAAAUAAACCUAUGAAUAAAUUUUCUUCUU
rnacentral:lncRNA from 10 species